rnacentral:lncRNA from 10 species
ACAAAAGCAUUUCAUCUCAGUCACUUAAUUGCUGGAGCCUAUUCAUUCAGAACAUACAUCACCAACACAAGGCCAAUGACAAACGAUCGCAUAAACAAGAGAAACAGAAACAUGUGAAGAAGUUUAGCUUUUAUAUACAGAACAACUAGAGACAGAGCAUUGGGAAGAGGGACUCAUUGAAGAGUUUUAAAUAGGGAAGCAACAGAAUGAGGUUUGAAUUCACAAAGACCAUUCACUUUUCCUUUAGGAAGCUAUUUAGCAGUAAGAGAAAAGCAUAGAAAUGUAGGUGGCAGAAGGGCUGGACAGAACGCAGAGUGAGUGUGCACCCAUUUCUCCCAGAGCAGGACCUUGAUCUGCAGAAUGACCAUGCUCCUGAGAGGCACAAGGCAAAUGAAUAACUAUGAUACUCUUUCAAGAAGACAGGAUAUACUGUGGGCUUUGGUACAAGCAUAUCAGAAGAUCCAUGUAAAAAGAUGUCCUUUUUCUGUGUUUC